rnacentral:lncRNA from 1 species
UUUCUUUUGAAUAACGAUAACAAGCAAAAUUCAAAAAUGUAUAACAUAACCUUGACCUUCGACCUUGAUCUCAAUGUCAAGGUCAUAGGUCAGUGAACACAAAACGGAAGACCGGAGGUCAAUCACUUGUAUGGUUGUGGAGAAAUACUGAUUUGAAAUACAUAAGGGGAGAAAACUCCUAUAAGGGUAAACUAAAACACUUUGACUGAAAUAGGUUGAAGUUGCGCCUUAUUGUAAACAGUUAUUUGGCAAACACAUCAUAUCAUUUACUGUCACAGUUUCUGUGGUAUAACGAUAACAAGCAAAAUUCAAAAUUUAAAACAUGACCUUGACCUUUGACCUUGACCUCAAUUUCCUUCAAAUGGACCAAGGACUUCAUAUCAAAAGACAGUAGGCCUCUACGACUUAUAACGUAUGAAUUGAUCCAAC